rnacentral:rRNA from 1 species
AGAGUUUGAUCCUGGCUCAGGAUGAACGCUGGCGGCGUGCCUAAUACAUGCAAGUCGAGCGAAGCACUUGUGCUCGAGUGGCGAACGGGUGAGUAAUACAUAAGUAACCUGCCCUAGACAGGGGGAUAACUAUUGGAAACGAUAGCUAAGACCGCAUAGGUACGGACACUGCAUGGUGACCGUAUUAAAAGUGCCUCAAAGCACUGGUAGAGGAUGGACUUAUGGCGCAUUAGCUGGUUGGCGGGGUAACGGCCCACCAAGGCGACGAUGCGUAGCCGACCUGAGAGGGUGACCGGCCACACUGGGACUGAGACACGGCCCAGACUCCUACGGGAGGCAGCAGUAGGGAAUUUUCGGCAAUGGGGGAAACCCUGACCGAGCAACGCCGCGUGAAGGAAGAAGGUUUUCGGAUUGUAAACUUCUGUUAUAAAGGAAGAACGGCGGCUACAGGAAAUGGUAGCCGAGUGACGGUACUUUAUUAGAAAGCCACGGCUAACUACGUGCCAGCAGCCGCGGUAAUACGUAGGUGGCAAGCGUUAUCCGGAAUUAUUGGGCGUAAAGAGGGAGCAGGCGGCAGCAAGGGUCUGUGGUGAAAGCCUGAAGCUUAACUUCAGUAAGCCAUAGAAACCAGGCAGCUAGAGUGCAGGAGAGGAUCGUGGAAUUCCAUGUGUAGCGGUGAAAUGCGUAGAUAUAUGGAGGAACACCAGUGGCGAAGGCGACGAUCUGGCCUGCAACUGACGCUCAGUCCCGAAAGCGUGGGGAGCAAAUAGGAUUAGAUACCCUAGUAGUCCACGCCGUAAACGAUGAGUACUAAGUGUUGGAUGUCAAAGUUCAGUGCUGCAGUUAACGCAAUAAGUACUCCGCCUGAGU